rnacentral:rRNA from 1 species
CGAACGGACGAGAAGCUUGCUUCUCUGAUGUUAGCGGCGGACGGGUGAGUAACACGUGGAUAACCUACCUAUAAGACUGGGAUAACUUCGGGAAACCGGAGCUAAUACCGGAUAAUAUUUUGAACCGCAUGAUUCAAAAGUGAAAGACGGUCUUGCUGUCACUUAUAGAUGGAUCCGCGCUGCAUUAGCUAGUUGGUAAGGUAACGGCUUACCAAGGCAACGAUGCAUAGCCGACCUGAGAGGGUGAUCGGCCACACUGGAACUGAGACACGGUCCAGACUCCUACGGGAGGCAGCAGUAGGGAAUCUUCCGCAAUGGGCGAAAGCCUGACGGAGCAACGCCGCGUGAGUGAUGAAGGUCUUCGGAUCGUAAAACUCUGUUAUUAGGGAAGAACAUAUGUGUAAGUAACUGUGCACAUCUUGACGGUACCUAAUCAGAAAGCCACGGCUAACUACGUGCCAGCAGCCGCGGUAAUACGUAGGUGGCAAGCGUUAUCCGGAAUUAUUGGGCGUAAAGCGCGCGUAGGCGGUUUUUUAAGUCUGAUGUGAAAGCCCACGGCUCAACCGUGGAGGGUCAUUGGAAACUGGAAAACUUGAGUGCAGAAGAGGAAAGUGGAAUUCCAUGUGUAGCGGUGAAAUGCGCAGAGAUAUGGAGGAACACCAGUGGCGAAGGCGACUUUCUGGUCUGUAACUGACGCUGAUGUGCGAAAGCGUGGGGAUCAAACAGGAUUAGAUACCCUGGUAGUCCACGCCGUAAACGAUGAGUGCUAAGUGUUAGGGGGUUUCCGCCCCUUAGUGCUGCAGCUAACGCAUUAAGCUACUCCGCCUGGGGAGUACGACCGCAAGGUUG